GCAAUUACUAAUUCUUAUUAAAUUAAAAUAAUUACCAAUUCCAAUUACAAGAAAAACACUAUAAUUCAAAAAAUAUAGGUCUGUUGUGCAACCGAUUUCUAAAAUCCCGUCAAAAAACAUUUAAGCAAGGUUUUCCCAACAAAAAAAAACGUCGAAAAAUAUGCUGCGAUUAGGUUUGAAUCUAAUGACUCAGAAUCACUAGACUUUUACUUUUGCCAGCUUCGUUUACUCACUGGGCAUCGGCGAAUAGAGAACUCUAUGCAUUUCUGUGUCUUGGCAAUGAACUACUGUGGCGUAAAGGAGAGUGUUAAUGGGUCCCUGGAUCCCUAUGUGAAUGAGCCUACAGCCAUCCAAUUUUGCAUCUAAAAAGCGUUGCGAAUUGCGUCUCAGCUAGAUCGAGAGUACUGCCGUAUCGAACUCUUCUCGGCAUCUACCUCCAGCUUCUCAUUUCUGCUGCCAUCGACUAAACUCUCAGCUUACAGCAGCUAAAUCGUGACUCGCUGUUGCAAAUCACAGAGAAUACUGUAUUGUUCUCAUGCCUUUCUUCUUCAAGUAACCCCUGGAUCUAUCUGGCCAACUCAAUUGCUCAACUUGGUGUUCCUAACUGUACUUCCUCAGAGCUUCUGCGUCCAUUAAAAGCGGCCGUGAAAUUGGAAAUCCACCAAUCCGUUGCGUCAAUUUGGAACGGAGAGUGGGCCAGUGGUCAGGCCGGUGCAUCCACUAGGGCUUUCUUCCCAAAGGUUCAAACGGCAGCAUUUAUCUCGAGUCAGCACCUUUCCAGCCAGGUUGUACAAAUCCUCUCAGGGCACUCUCUACUUAACUCUCAAUAAAGUCGCUUUGGCUUCAACGACUCCCCCAAUUGUGGAUGCGGUGCUCCUCUCGAAUCUACGGAGCAUUUCUUAUUCUUCUGCCCUCGGUUUUCGCAAGAACGAACUCUGUUUCAAGCCGUCUGUAGUGUCUAUGAUGUCAUCUGGCCUCCAUCACUCCCCUUAAUCCCGGAAAAUCGUGGCGUGUGGGAAGCCAUGUGCACUUUUAUCCACCAAAACCGUCUCCGCUGGGGCUCCUCUUAGCAAGCUAGCACUCCCUACCUCGUACUGGCUAGGCUGGUGUCUAUUCUCCUUUUGUUUAUCAUAGGCUUGUUUCCGUUUUCAUUUGGUGUACUCUCACGUGACAUUCUGGACCCUAAGACUUCUCAGGCUGUCCUAGCAACCCAUGAGCUGUUUCACCUUAGCUGUUGAGUCUUUGCUCCUCCUUCUUGCCAGGAGGCAAGAAUGAGUAAGUAACUGCUUCAUUGCUCAACGUCUUCACCUUUGUCUAUACUCCAAUCCUCAGCUACUAGCCGCUCAGCUAAUCAGAUACCGUGUGAAGAAACGAAACUGGAAGUCCCGAAACAAUGCUACGUGGAUGAAGCCAUUCAAUUUAGGGGGGAAAUAGUGUGGCAUUCACAUUUCGUUACUCUUUUUGAAUGGGAUAACCCGAAGGACGCCGGAAUGGGAGUAGCGUUUCGACUCAGACAUGAGCAUGUUUUUCCCAACAGCUUCUCGAAAAUGAACGUCAGAUUUAUGGCCCAAGUAACCUACUUUAAUGCAUUUCAGUUAUAUCGACUGAAAAAUCCCACAAGAAUAGAGGUAUUCAAGCAUACGAAAGCGACAGAGGAAAUGUGCCUUAUCUUAAAUAAUGCAUUCGACGUCCUUAAUGGAAGCCAUUAUAAGGAGAGGAUACAUACAGGCUAUUGGAAGCAAAAAAAAAUAUGUUUGGUGGUUUUUUUGGAGGCCAUAAAUUAAACUGAGGCCUAUUCAAAAGCUUCAAACAAAAAUGCACGUCCAUUCCUCUUGGAGACUAGCUUAAGGCUCGUUCAGACUGGCGUUUUUUUUUUUAAGUUUGACGUUAA